GUGAGGUAAUGGCUCACCAAGGCUACGACGGGUAACCGGUCUGAGAGGAUGAUCGGUCACAGUGGGACUGAGACACGGCCCGCACCCCUACGGGGGGCAGCAGUGGGGAAUAUUGGGCAAUGGCCGAAAGGCUGACCCAGCAACGCCGCGUGGUGGAUGAAGCCCUUCGGGGUGUAAACACCUUUUCUGGGGGAAGAUAAUGACGGUACCCCAGGUAUAAGGGACGGCUGACUACGUGCCAGCAGCCGCGGUAAUACGUAGGUCCCGAACGUUGCGCGAAAUUACUGGGCGUAAAGGGUCCGUAGGCGGUCUGGUAAGUGGAAGGUGAAAUCCUACGGGCUCAACCGUAGAAUUGCCUUCCAAACUGCUGGACUUGAGGCAGGGAGAGGUCGGCGGAAUUCCCGGUGUAGCGGUGAAAUGCGUAGAUAUCGGGAGGAAUACCAGUGGCGAAGGCGGCCGACUGGAACUGUCCUGACGCUGAGGGACGAAAGCUAGGGGAGCAAACCGGAUUAGAUACCCGGGUAGUCCUAGCCGUAAACGAUGGAUGCUAGAUGUGGCCUACGAAAGUAGGCUGUGCCGUAAGCUAACGCGUUAAGCAUCCCGCCUGG
rnacentral:rRNA from 1 species